rnacentral:rRNA from 1 species
ACUCCUACGGGAGGCAGCAGUGGGGAAUCUUGGACAAUGGGCGCAAGCCUGAUCCAGCCAUGCCGCGUGAGUGAUGAAGGCCCUAGGGUCGUAAAGCUCUUUCGCCAGGGAUGAUAAUGACAGUACCUGGUAAAGAAACCCCGGCUAACUCCGUGCCAGCAGCCGCGGUAAUACGGAGGGGUUAGCGUUGUUCGGAAUUACUGGGGCGUAAAGCGCGCGUAGGCGGACUGGAAAGUUGGGGGUGAAAUCCCGGGGCUCAACCCCGGAACUGCCUCCAAAACUCCCAGUCUUGAGUUCGAGAGAGGUGAGUGGAAUUCCGAGUGUAGAGGUGAAAUUCGUAGAUAUUCGGAGGAACACCAGUGGCGAAGGCGGCUCACUGGCUCGAUACUGACGCUGAGGUGCGAAAGUGUGGGGAGCAAACAGGAUUAGAUACCCUGGUAGCGACUGA